GGCGGCAUGCUUUACACAUGCAAGUCGAACGGUAACAGGGAGCUUGCUCCGCUGACGAGUGGCGAACGGGUGAGUAAUAUAUCGGAACGUACCCAAGAGUGGGGGAUAACGUAGCGAAAGUUACGCUAAUACCGCAUACGAUCCAAGGAUGAAAGCAGGGGACCGCAAGGCCUUGUGCUCCUGGAGCGGCCGAUAUCUGAUUAGCUAGUUGGUAGGGUAAAGGCCUACCAAGGCAUCGAUCAGUAGCUGGUCUGAGAGGACGACCAGCCACACUGGAACUGAGACACGGUCCAGACUCCUACGGGAGGCAGCAGUGGGGAAUUUUGGACAAUGGGCGCAAGCCUGAUCCAGCAAUGCCGCGUGAGUGAAGAAGGCCUUCGGGUUGUAAAGCUCUUUUGUCAGGGAAGAAACGGGUGUGGCUAAUAUCUGCAUCUAAUGACGGUACCUGAAGAAUAAGCACCGGCUAACUACGUGCCAGCAGCCGCGGUAAUACGUAGGGUGCAAGCGUUAAUCGGAAUUACUGGGCGUAAAGCGUGCGCAGGCGGUUUUGUAAGUCUGUUGUGAAAUCCCCGGGCUUAACCUGGGAAUGGCAAUGGAGACUGCAAGGCUAGAGUUUGGCAGAGGGGGGUAGAAUUCCACGUGUAGCAGUGAAAUGCGUAGAGAUGUGGAGGAACACCGAUGGCGAAGGCAGCCCCCUGGGUCAAGACUGACGCUCAUGCACGAAAGCGUGGGGAGCAAACAGGAUUAGAUACCCUGGUAGUCCACGCCCUAAACGAUGUCUACUAGUUGUCGGGUCUUAAUUGACUUGGUAACGCAGCUAACGCGUGAAGUAGACCGCCUGGGGAGUACGGUCGCAAGAUUAAAACUCAAAGGAAUUGACGGGGACCCGCACAAGCGGUGGAUGAUGUGGAUUAACUCGAUGC
rnacentral:rRNA from 1 species